rnacentral:rRNA from 1 species
CCCUACGGCCGUUGCAGCAGGCGCGAAACCUUUACAAUGCACGAAAGUGUGAUAAGGGAAUCCUAAGUGCUCAUGCAUUGCAUGGGCUUUUGCUAAGGGUAAAAACCUUGGAGAAUAAGUGGUGGGUAAGACUGGUGCCAGCAGCCGCGGUAACACCAGCGCCACGAGUGGGAACCAUGAUUAUUUGGCCUAAAGCGUCCGUAGCUGGAUUUGUAAAUCUCUUGUGAAAUCGAACAGCUCAACUGUUCGGCGUGCAGGAGACACUGCAUAUCUUGAGACCGGGAGGGGUAAGGAGUAUUUCGGGGGAACCGGUAAAAUGGGAUAAUCCUCGGAGGACUACCUGUGGCGAAGACGCCUUACCAGAACGGAUCUGACAGUGAGGGACGAAGGCUAGGGGAGCGAACCGGAUUAGAUACCCGAGUAGUCCUAGCAGUAAACGCUGUGGGUUAGGUGUUGCACCAUCUACGUGAUUGUGCAGUGUCGAA